GGGGAAUAUUGCACAAUGGGGGAAACCCUGAUGCAGCGACGCCGCGUGAAGGAAGAAGUAUUUCGGUAUGUAAACUUCUAUCAGCAAGGAAGAAAAUGACGGUACUUGACUAAGAAGCCCCGGCUAAAUACGUGCCAGCAGCCGCGGUAAUACGUAUGGGGCAAGCGUUAUCCGGAUUUACUGGGUGUAAAGGGAGCGUAGGCGGUAAGACAAGUCAGAAGUGAAAUCUAUGGGCUCAACCCAUAAACUGCUUUCAAAACUGUUUUUCUUGAGUAGUGCAGAGGUAGGCGGAAUUCCCGGUGUAGCGGUGGAAUGCGUAGAUAUCGGGAGGAACACCAGUGGCGAAGGCGGCCUACUGGGCACCAACUGACGCUGAGGCUCGAAAGUGUGGGUAGCAAACAGGAUUAGAUACCCUGGUAGUCCACACCGUAAACGAUGAUUACUAGGUGUUGGAGGAUUGACCCCUUCAGUGCCGCAGUUAACACAAUAAGUAAUCCACCUGGGGAGUACGACCGCAAGGUUGAAACUCAAAGGAAUUGACGGGGGCCCGCACAAGCAGUGGAGUAUGUGGUUUAAUUCGACGCAACGCGAAGAACCUUACCAAGUCUUGACAUCCCUUGACAGACAUAGAAAUAUGUUUUCUCUUCGGAGCAAGGAGACAGGUGGUGCAUGGUUGUCGUCAGCUCGUGUCGUGAGAUGUUGGGUUAAGUCCCGCAACGAGCGCAACCCUUAUGGUCAGUUACUACGCAAGAGGACUCUGGCCAGACUGCUGUUGACAAAACGGAGGAAGGUGGGGAUGACGUCAAAUCAUCAUGCCCUUUAUGACUUGGGCUACACACGUACUACAAUGGCGUUAAACAAAGAGAAGCAAGACCGCGAGGUGGAGCAAAACUCAGAAACAACGUCCCAGUUCGGACUGCAGGCUGCAACUCGCCUGCACGAAGUCGGAAUUGCUAGUAAUCGUGGAUCAGCAUGCCACGGUGAAUACGUUCCCG
rnacentral:rRNA from 1 species